CCUACGGGGGGCAGCAGUGGGGAAUAUUGCACAAUGGGGGCAACCCUGAUGCAGCGACGCCGCGUGAAGGAAGAAGGAUUUCGGUAUGUAAACUUCUAUCAGCAGGGAAGAAAAUGACGGUACCUGACUAAGAAGCACCGGCUAACUACGUGCCAGCAGCCGCGGUAAUACGUAGGGGGCAAGCGUUAUCCGGAUUUACUGGGUGUAAAGGGAGCGUAGGCGGUGCAGCAAGUCAGAAGUGAAAUCCCGGGGCUCAACUCCGGGACUGCUUUUGAAACUGUUGAACUAGAGUGCAGGAGAGGUAAGCGGAAUUCCUAGUGUAGCGGUGAAAUGCGUAGAUAUUAGGAAGAACACCAGUGGCGAAGGCGGAUUACUGGACUGUAAAUGACGCUGAGGCUCGAAAGCGUGGGGAGCAAACAGGAUUAGAUACCCCUGUAGUC
rnacentral:rRNA from 1 species